GUAGGGAAUCUUCCGCAAUGGACGAAAGUCUGACGGAGCAACGCCGCGUGAGUGAAGAAGGUUUUCGGAUCGUAAAGCUCUGUUGUUAAGGAAGAGCACCAUGGAUAGGAAAUGAUCGAUGGAUGACGGUACUUAACCAGAAAGCCACGGCUAACUACGUGCCAGCAGCCGCGGUAAUACGUAGGUGGCAAGCGUUAUCCGGAAUUAUUGGGCGUAAAGCGCGCGUAGGCGGUUUCUUAAGUCUGAUGUGAAAGCCCCCGGCUCAACCGGGGAGGGUCAUUGGAAGCUGGGGAACUUGAGUACAGAAGAGGAGAGUGGAAUUCCAUGUGUAGCGGUGAAAUGCGCAGAGAUAUGGAGGAACACCAGUGGCGAAGGCGGCUCUCUGGUCUGAAACUGACGCUGAGGUGCGAAAGCGUGGGGAUCAA
rnacentral:rRNA from 1 species